rnacentral:lncRNA from 1 species
UAUGAUCUUUAUAACACAAAUAGGUGGAAAGGCUUGAAUCCAAAAUUUUGUUCUCUAGAUUUACAGGGAUGUGGUUAUGACCGGUGGGAACAAGAAAUCUUGGCCAACAAUGUGAAUGCGCAGCAGAGGCAGAGCAAGAAGAGGAUAACGAUUCAAUGGUCAAGGAUGGGAAUGAACUUGACGGAGAAUGCUCUCGUCCCUAAAAACAUGCUAAGAGCCUUGAACUUUCUAGAGAAUGUCUUCUUGAUGGAGAAAGAAGAAGAUGAAAGAUAUAAUUACAUUGCUCUGAUACCAUAUUAGGAAUCAAAUAGCAAGAAAUGGAUGUAAAUUUCAUUCAUUGAAUGAAUAUUG